rnacentral:rRNA from 1 species
UGAGGAAUCUUGCGCAAUGGGGGCAACCCUGACGCAGCGACGCCGCGUGAGGGAAGAAGGCCUUCGGGUCGUAAACCUCUGUCUAGAGGGAAGAAACCAUUGAGGUCGAACAGGCCUCUUUGCUGACGGUACCUCUGAAGGAAGCACCGGCUAACUCCGUGCCGGCAGCCGCGGUAAUACGGAGGGUGCGAGCGUUAAUCGGAAUCACUGGGCGUAACGCGCACGUAGGCGGUGUCGUAAGUCGGAUGUGAAAGCCCUCGGCUCAACCGGGGAACUGCAUUCGUUACUGCGACGCUUGAGUGCCGGAGAGGGUGGCGGAAUUCCAGGUGUAGGAGUGAAAUCCGUAGAUAUCUGGAGGAACACCAGUGGCGAAGGCGGCCACCUGGCCGGCAACUGACGCUGAGGUGCGAAAGCGUGGGGAUCAAACA